GUAUAAACCCGAUCGGAGCGGGAUGCGCACGAUUUUUCAUUGGGAGCAGAAGCGGGAGCGGGACUGCCC
rnacentral:sRNA from 1 species